rnacentral:rRNA from 1 species
UACAGGGGGUGCAAACGUUGCUCGGAAUUAUUGGGCGUAAAGCGCACGUAGGCGGUUUGUUAUGUCGGAUGUGAAAGCCCUUGGCUCAACUGAGGAAGUGCAUCCGAAACUGGCAAGCUAGAGUAUGUAAGAGGGCCGCGGAAUUCCCGGUGUAGAGGUGAAAUUCGUAGAUAUCGGGAGGAACACCGGUGGCGAAGGCAAGUCUCUGGGCAGCUACUGACACUGAGGCACGAAGGCCAGGGGAGCAAACGGG